ensembl:lncRNA CKMT2-AS1 CKMT2 antisense RNA 1
GGGGUUACAGGAUAUAGGUUACAGGAUAGCCCAGGAAAUCAGAUUAUUAGUUCUUCUUCCGUGCUAAUAUCUGCAAACAAUUCUUUCAAUUCUAAAGCCAGUAAGUUACUAAGAGCAGACAAGAUAUAAAUUGGUCAUUUCUUGAAGUUGUCCUGGGGACUUGUAAAGACCAACAUUCAUUCUCAUCAUGGAAACUUCUUUGCUCCCCUGCUAGAUUUCAGGUCAUCAUGUCAGUAUCCCUCCAAGAAUAGAUAACGGCUCUUCAGUGAGCUGCACCAGUGCUUCCUGGUCCUUGCUUGCAGCAGGCAACGCUAGCAUACAUCCUUUGGGCCAUCUUAUUUGCCAUCACACCCUCAAACCCACUUUCUAACUAGAGAGAGGCAAUGCUGUCACUCUAGAGGUUUACUGUAGAACUCACUAAAGUGAAAGAAGCUUUGCCCAGAUUCUUUCCAGGCAGUAUGGGCCUAAACAUAAGCCAGACAUGGUCUUCCUAAGCUAACAGGAAGUAUGUUCCUUUCUGGGAUUGACCAGGGAUGACCCAAAUGUCCUGGUCCCUAUUUUUCAUUCCUUAAAUUGCCUAUGCACUGAUAUGUGCCCAAGUCAGUGUCUGAGAUGAUAAAUCUUAGGAAGCAGAGCCAAGAGGAAGGGGAGUGAAUGGUCUCCAUGUAUAGUCCUGUGACCACUGGAGGUCUUCCUCCCUGUAAGGGUGAUGUGUGAGUGGGUAUCUGGCUCAGAAUAUUAAUGUUUGAAGUGUCAUAUCCAUAUUUUAGUUCCUGGAAGGAACUAAUUUAAUUAAUUUAUAAUUAUUAUUUUAUUCCAAGUUCCAAUACUGCCCUUGUGUCUGAGCAACAAAGGAUGACUCAUGCAGAUAAUCCUGGGGAAGCUUUGAUUGUGGCUAGCAAAGCAAUCUUGGAACUGAAAUUCCUCAGUAUCCUUGCUUUGAUUCCUUGAAGAGAAUUGACACAGACUCCAGGUUUUGGUGAAGCAAAGAAUUCCUGCUUCCUUGACUCUGUUUUUGUCUCGCCAGAACACAAAGAGGCAUUGAAUUUCACUAUUAAGGCCUUAAUUAGUAACCUUGUUUGUGAAAUUGAAACAAAGGUCUCACUGAACAGGCUGGUGCUCUGGCAAUGGCUGUUCCAUGCUCUCCAAAGACCCAGAAUCAAGGCUUGCAAUGAAAUCACUUUUCCUCAUGACUAAACUAAAUCUCUCUUGCAUGUUAAAAGUUAGUCUUUAAAACGCUGCGCAGUCAGAACAUUGCUUUGUCUUACACAUUUCCCUGUUACCUGGCAGGCCCCAAAUGUUACAUAAGCAUUCUCUGCAGCUGUAACCCCUACUCAGAAGAGGCUUGAUUUGUUAUUUGCACACAUGAUAACAUGUGGCAUAAGUAAAGCUGGGAAGAUGUUUGUUUGUAAGGGGUAAUCUGUGUCUAUCAAAGCAGAUAGUAUUGGUUUUGCCUAGUUUCCAAACAUGGUUUUAUAAGUCAGUAUAUCUUGUGAAACCAUUAGGACAAAAGUUUGGAACAAAAAGAAAUCUCAGGCUCAUUGCAAAGCUUUUUUAACGUUUUCAGUUCCCUCCAUGUUCUGAGCAUUAUCAUAACGUACUGAACUGUUCUGUUCAGAGACCACUAGGGAGAGGAGAUGAGGAACCAGAGCAGCCAGGAUGUUUCUCCCUGGGAUAAAAUCUCAAGCAUUCAGACACCCUCACUGUGGGCUCCACUUCUGUAGCUAGAGGGGACUGGAAACAGCAGGAGCAUCUCACAGCUUGUAGGAAGCACACAUCUUUUUCCCAAAUGUUUCUUUUUGCAGUUGGUCCUUGCUGGCUGAUCCAGCUUCCCCGUCAGCAUAUGGUGAGCAGUUCGGUGAGAGGACCACACUUCCAAUACUGGCAGAUGAAGCCAGAUACUCCUCUAUGAAGUUAAAUGACUGGUUCAGUGUUAACACUGCUAGUGAGCGACAGAGAUGGAAUUUGAACGCACACCUGUCUGACUCCACCUCGUGUUCCUUCCACAUGGCCAGCAAGCUCUGCUGUCCCACCUCGCACUUCUGGGAGGUGGCUACUCCCUCUUUCCACCCCCUUUUCUGGAUCUUGACAAGGGAUUCUACCCUGCCCCAGCUGUCAAAGCCUGCAGCAGCUGCCAAAAAACCUCAACACAGGCAUACUUUGGACCUACAUCAUGUGUUGAUGUCACAGAUGCUGUACCAGGCAUUUGACUCCUUGAUCUAAAGCCAGGAUUCCUAGCCAACAUGGCGAAACCCUGUCUCUACUAAAAAUAACAAAAAUUAGCUGGGCAUGGUGAUAGGCACCUGUAAUCCCAGCUACUUGGGAGGCUGAGGCAGGAGAA